rnacentral:rRNA from 1 species
UACGAAGGGGGCUAGCGUUGCUCGGAAUCACUGGGCGUAAAGCGCACGUAGGCGGCUUUUUAAGUCAGGGGUGAAAUCCUGGAGCUCAACUCCAAAACUGCCUUUGAUACUGAGAGGCUUGAGUCCGGGAGAGGUGAGUGGAACUGCGAGUGUAGAGGUGAAAUUCGUAGAUAUUCGCAAGAACACCAGUGGCGAAGGCGGCUCACUGGCCCGGUACUGACGCUGAGGUGCGAAAGCGUGGGGAGCAAACAGG